CGGGAAGGCCAUGCGGCGACGCAGAGCGGAACCCGAAAAACCCUGUCUCAGUUCGGAUUGGAGUCUGCAACCCGACUCCAUGAAGCUGGAUUCGCUAGUAAUCGCGCAUCAGCCACGGCGCGGUGAAUACGUUCCCGGGCCUUGUACACACCGCCCGUCAAGCCAUGGAAGCCGGGAGUGCCUGGAGUGCGUGAGCGCAAGCAGCGCCCUAAGGUAAAACCGGUGACUGGGGCUAAGUCGUAACAAGGUAUC
rnacentral:rRNA from 1 species